rnacentral:lncRNA from 1 species
CGAGUUUCAGAGAGAAAUGAUUUAGUUCAGGUCUCAACACUGGCCAGGGAAGGAAAUUGAUUGAUCCUGGACCCCCUGAAUCCUAUUUCAUUUCAAACUCUACCACAUCAAAUUCGACAGGUUAAUUAGGGCUAAAGUGGGGGCAGAGUAGUUCCACAUGAAAUUAUUUAACACUGGCUGCUCUGGCACUUGGUCGCACAAUCCCAAGACUUUGUUUUAUUUAUAAGGAGAAAAGGUCAUUUUGACCAGCUAAAGUCUUCCCUUAAAGAUCGAGUUUGUGUUUUUAUUUUAUUAAUGAAUUUGCAAUAUGUGAGAAGCCACGUUGGUUAAUAAUCCUAACCUUCUGACAUGGAGAGGGUAUAGAAAUAAAUAUUCCAUUGCCAUAAAAAAAAAUACCUUCUCGGACUCCUCAUUUCCAUUCACAGUUUCCUCCUGUUACUGGUUGUGGAUCUGGUGGCAAUAUUCCAGUCUGAGUCACCUGGGAAGGCUGUAGUAGUCUCUUUCUCAGCUCUUCUAGGACUUUCCACUUGUGGGUUUCUCUUCUCAUCUUCAUGUCAUCUUAGGGGAUUGCAUCCGUCAGCAUGGUUUCAGUGGUAUCCUCCCAACUGGUAGUUGCCACGUUGCCAUCUCUGGGUCAGGCCUCUUUGACCACCUUCAGACCUCCUUAUGCUAUAUGGGGCAUGUCUAC